rnacentral:rRNA from 1 species
CAGCCGCCACGGGAAUACGUAGGGUGCAAGCGUUAAUCGGAAUUACUGGGCGUAAAGCGUGCGCAGGCGGUUUGUUAAGACAGAUGUGAAAUCCCCGGGCUUAACCUGGGAACUGCAUUUGUGACUGGCAAGCUAGAGUAUGGCAGAGGGGGGUGGAAUUCCGCGUGUAGCAGUGAAAUGCGCAGAUAUGCGGAGGAACACCGAUGGCGAAGGCAGCCCCCUGGGCCAAUACUGACGCUCAUGCACGAAAGCGUGGGGAGCAAACAGGAUUAGAUACCCGAGUAGUCCCUGUCUCUUAUAC